CAGUCGCCGCGGUAAUACGAAGGGGGCUAGCGUUGCUCGGAAUGACUGGGCGUAAAGGGCGCGUAGGCGGAUGGCACAGUCAGAUGUGAAAUUCCCGGGCUUAACCUGGGGGCUGCAUUUGAUACGUGUUGUCUAGAGUGAGGAAGAGGGUCGUGGAAUUCCCAGUGUAGAGGUGAAAUUCGUAGAUAUUGGGAAGAACACCGGUGGCGAAGGCGGCGACCUGGUCCUUUACUGACGCUGAGGCGCGAAAGCGUGGGGAGCAAACAGGAUUAGAUACCCGCGUAGUCCCUGUCUCUUAUAC
rnacentral:rRNA from 1 species